GCGUGUCUUGUCCCUUGCGCUGCAUGUUCAAUCGAACAAUUCGGCCCCCUUAUCUUGUUUGCGCAUCUCUUCACUCGUUCCCGCACCUACAUUCCAAAAAAAUCCCGCGCCCCCACCCUCCCCCGCCGCCCACCGCUGCAAUAAAUCCGUGCACCUACGAUGUUGCCACCAAUCCUCUUCAGUUGAGCUCUGGAGCCGGUGCUCCUCUGAGGUCUGCAAGGAAAUCUGUCCUCACUUCACCCCCUUCGCAGUUCAGCCACCUCCAUUGAUGCGAGCUUCAACUGACGCCCGAUGCCGCAUAUUUUCACCAAGCACUGCUUCCAUUGAUUUGUGCUUCACCUGACGUCUGCUUCCGGUACACGGAUAAGAUGCGUGUUGCCGGCUUCGAGCCAACCGUAGAGUGGAUGCCUGGAACAGCUCGAACCCACAUUGAUGGUGACCCUGAAGAAUUAGAUGCAUAUCACUCUGGCAGUUUAACUCCCGGGGGGGUCACCUGACAACGCACAUGCCCAAUCCUCAUCUGCUGCCACUUCGCGCAGCUCUCUUAAGAAGUUUUGCACUAUGUUCAGACUUUCAAUGACUACAAGAAGGACUUGGUUAGGUCUAUUGGCUUUGGUGGAAUGCUAGAUCUUCCUAGGAUUAAGAAGUUAAACAUCAAGUUUAGCAUGUGGCUCAUGCAGAAAGUAGAUUGCCAGGCCCGAUCCAUUCGCAUAGAUGACAACCGCGUCCUUCGGUUGAUCCCCAAUGAUGUCAGUACUGUAUUUGGCAUCCCCUGCGGCCCAAAGGAUAUAUUAGGCCCUGAUGCCU